UGUACAUCCAUCCGAUUCUAUAAUAGACUUUGGAAGAGUGCGGAACCCGAAAGUUUACCCAGGAGUCAGUCGCCAGCUGCUACUCGUGGCGAAAUCACGCUUUCUUCUGACUAUCGCAGACCCAGUUUCCCCCUUGAAUAAAUCGCUAACGUCCGAUCGGAUCCCAGUGCCUUGGAACCUUCAUUAAAAAGGGAAAAGAUACAGGAUCGAAGCAAGGCCUACUCUAAGCGGUGGGCGACCCACUCACGGUUGAAUUAUAAACAACCUUUGAAUAAAUUCUUGUACAGGGGAUUUACGCAGUAACGAUCAGCUUCUAAGCCGAAACGAUUCGGUGCAGUGCAGCGGCUCAAGGGUAUGGCGAUAGACAUCAAGCUUUCCAAAUUCAAUAACAUCCCAUGGGGAUUCCGGCUUUCCGGUGGAGCGGAUUUUCCCCAUCCACUCACGGUUGUCAGGGUGGCCCGGGGAAGUUUGGCCGACGAUGCCGGGCUGCAGCCAGGUGACGUCCUGAUAAGAGUCAACGACAGUCCUCUGCAGAAUCUGACACACGCACAGGCACACGAUUGGCUGGUGCGAGCCGGUAACAACUUCGUUCUCUCCGUCGUCCGCAAUCAUCGCAUCGCCAAAGAGGCCCAUUGACCUCCGGCCAUUCCUCAUCGUAAUUCUUGUCCGACCUCUCGUUCGGCUUUUCGAGACGGUCUCGGGAUGGAUUUAUAUUUUCCAAUGCUACAAGGGUACGAGACUCGAAAUGAGAAAAUAAUUCCCGGAUGGCGAUGUUGGGUAUUCAGAAAACCCCGCGCGGGUCGCAAAUAUUUUUAUAGUUAUGAUAUAAAGUGACUUUAUAGGAAGAUAAAAAAAAUAUAUUGCUAUAUACUUUUUCACUGUACGUAUUGUAGUUUGAUUCGUGUUCUAUAAUUCGUAAUUAGGUAGAUACGCAAUUAAUGUUGACAUCCUGUCUGUGAAUUGAGCGGGUCACAUAUUAUAAUGAACACGCCCGUAUUUUUCCAUAUCUCGUUCUGCGUGAAGAACGCAGAAUUUCCGUAUCAAUUGCAAUCAUCGUUUGAGCGAAUAUCCAGAUACGGAUUCGUUUGUGCAAUUAACGAUUUGCAGUUGACAAUAUUCGAUAUUCGCUGGUAGUGACUGAGCCAUUUAUUUACUGUCAUACUUUGAUGAAAAGUACCAUAAUUACGGUGACUGAUCUUGAUCACCCGCAUUAAAAUAACCCGUACAAAAAUAACCGGGCAUAAAUAACCCAACCACAAAUAAUCCGUGAUAAAAAAUUGACAAACAAUUAAAUUAUAUUAAUAUUAAAUUGAAUUUCGCAUCUAUUGCAUUUGUGCGGGAUAUUUUUGUUUGGUCUAUUUGGUCCCAGUACUGAUAAUUACCGACCAACGGCUCAAAAAAUCGAUAUGUUGCAUUUUAAAUAUUUCAUUCAAACAAUUAGGUAACGGAAAAAUACUGGAGGCCGGUGACAGCCGUACCGUAAACAUGGCUAUACAGAACAAGCUUAAGGGGGUGCGCUGGUCGAUUUCGACGUGACAUAUACAUAUAUCGCCGGAUAUUGCAGUCGACGUAUCUCAAACGCGUGAAAGGGUUCAACAGUCCCACUCCAUAAGCAAUUAUGAACAAAAACAUUCCAAUAUAUUUUCAUUCGACACAGAAAUAAAGAAACGGCAUGGAUUCUACUAAUUUAAUAUUGCAAGCAAUUUCGUAGAAAGCACGCCGUUUCUUUACUUCUGCGUCGAAUGAAAAUGUAUUGGAAUUUUUUCGUUCACAAUUGCUUAUAGAGUUGGACUGAUGAAUCCUUUUACGCGUUUGAAAUACGUAGACUUCGAUAUUUGGCGAAUAUAUACGUCAACGUCAAAAUCGACCAGGGCACCCCACUAGUCAUGUUUACGGUACGACCAGGGGGCACCCUCUUAAGCUUGACUUCAUUUUCCUUCUAUUGGUUGAAGAAACUCCUUUUAUGCGCUUAAGAUUUGUUGAUAUUACGUUCGUUCAAUAUGGGCCGGGGAUUCAGCGCAGAGUGCGAGCUUGGGAGAUAAGGGAUCCGUUGUUGCAUUUCAUUUGCUUGAAUUAAGAUACGUUGAGUGAUAGAUCUAUAAUGUGCAGUUGGUAUACGUAGGCAUUCAGCUACUGUCAGUAUAUCCUACGUGUAUGAAUGAGCGUGCGCAAUUUGCAGCAAAAGAUUUUCUUUGAAAUCACUUACAGCCACAUGGAUAAAAAAAAAAAAAAAGAAAACAGUGUAAGCGAGGUUGUAAAAAAUUUUCGCGACUCGAUUCUACGCGCUGACAGCACACACGGAUUCUACGAUUAACAAGUCAAAUUGGUAGCUAACAAACACCUGUGUAUUAUUCGAACCCCCAUCUCUCCCUUGGCGUUACAUGCAAAUCAAAAGAGCUCGGUGAAAUUAUUGCAAAACCCCUUUCCAUUCGAACGAACAAUUUUCACCUCCUGAAAAUUUUUCUGUAUUCAAUAAUAUGCCCAAAGCGGUGUGUAGUCAAAGUUUGACAAUCACUGGAGGACUCCUAAAAAAACAUGGCGAAUAUUUUUAUAGUGAAUUUUUUGGUCGUUGUAUAAAUUACAUCGUUCCAGUGUUAUUUUUGUGGUAAAUGUCUGCACGACACAAAUAUUACAUAGGUAUAGAAUCUACGUGCGGUAUUGUGUGUUUAAUCACUAAAGACAACAUUUAUAUUUUACGCGUACACUCUUUCAACUUCGUAAUAACUUCAUUGUAAAGUAUCCUAUCUCUCCUUCGUACCUUUUACGGCGGACGCAUUUACUUUGACUGCCUAUAGGUACGAAGGGAAUCCUCACCUUGACUCGAUUACACUUCAAAAGGCUAGUAAACUGGUGUAAUAAGACUGUUUUAUGAAAAAAAUUCCCUUCAAACAUACAGGCCUUUCAGAAAUAUUAGCUUUUAAGACGUGUCGUAUACAUAAUAGUAGAUAGUAGAUGUAUAUUAUAUAUACAUACAUAUGUGUAUAUAUAUAUAUAUAUAUAUAUAUAUAUAUAUAUAUAUAUAUAUAUCGUUUACCUCCUGCAACACUGAAAAAAGAUUAAAUAAGAAUUAGAUGCGUUGAAUCCUUUUGAAAAAAUAUCGUUUCAUUUUUACUGAAUUACAGGGUAAGCCGGCGGGCUAUUUGCUCAGACUUUUAGUAUACAAGUGAUUCAUGACUUCUAAUGAUUUCAAGUGAUUUCAGAUGAUUUCAGCUGAUUUUAAACGACUGCAGCUGAUUUCAACUCAAUUCAACUGACUUCGUAUACAAUGUCAUCGGAUUUCUUUCUUAUUUCGAACGACUUUGAAAUGCCAUCAAACUAGGGUGCGCCGUUGAUUUCGCGAUGCACCAUAAAUGCUCGUUAAUACAGAUUGAGCAAAAAUGGGGCUAUGAAAAUCCAAAAGUCAGAUUUCUAAACUAUCGAUUAUCGACCAUAUUCAACUCAUCGACCAUACGAACACUUUAUUGUUCCUCGGUGCAAUGAAUAAAGGAGUGUGAGCGAAUCGGUAUUCUUCCUAUUCGUAAAAUAAAACUCUCGGAAUGGUCAACAAAUCAAUUUCGAGGCAAAAAGCAAGACACGCGAUCAAUCCGUUGAACGGUGGAAGGACGCGAAAGAUUUACCUGUCAGAGAGCUCUCCGCGGACGUGAUUCUGCCGAGAUAGUAGAUCAUGUCGCGUUACUGUCUUAUGAUUAAGGCGAGGAAGAUUACGGCACAAGGUAAAAGGGAUGAGAAAGAAAAAGGAAAAGGAUUAGCGCUCAUGGAUCAAGAAAUGUAAGUACAAUAUAUAAUUUAAUUUCAUUUUAAUAUAUUAGAUAUUGUUCACGUAAUAUAUUUAUAUUUAUAUGUAUAUUAUAUAACUCUUGUGCUGUAAUUCACCUUAACAAUAAUCAUCAUGUUUUUAUAUUCUUUGCUUAUAUCGACGAGUUACACGAAACUGUACAAUAUAUAUAUGUUCUUUGUUUAUCUGUAUACGUAGCAACGUCGUUUCGCGUUUAAAUUAAAACCUGUAGGUUGCGUCAACGAUUAGACAAUAUCAACUCAUCAUCAAUUAAUCGUUGAAAAACUAACGUUAAAUAAAAUAAGAUAAAACAACGAAACGUGUAUAAGAAUAAAGGAACAUUAACGACACAACGCGAUGUAAGUAACAAACACGCACCGUACGUCUGUAGAGAAAACACUCUCGCAAACUCAAGUUACCAAAGCUUUUCUCAAACUGAUUAUCGCUCUUAGCGACGAAAUAUGUCGGUAUCCUCAAUUUCGAGCGGGUCUUCGCUACACGUUAGACUGACGGUUGAAAAUGUUUAUAUUAUUAUAUGUACACGUACAGGUAAUUCUCAAAAGGUAAUCGUUUCGGUAUCGGUAUCGUGUUGCGCCUGAGGUGUGCAUAAUAUUUAUGUUUUUGUGCGCGCGUCCACCAUUUUGCACAAAUAUUUCUAGUUCUUUAUUCACUCAGUACACAAUUGUUUUAAUUAAGACAUAGACAUGAUGAACGAGAAGACCGCACCUUUUCGAUUUUUUCGAUAUAAAUAUACACUUUGGUUGAAUAUUGUUUUCACUAUUAUUAUUAUUUUUUCUUUCCUUUCGUCUUUUACUUAUCCUGGUUUUAUGGAGUAAUUAAUAAUAUUGGUUAA